UGAAUACGAGACGCUAAGGCGUCGAAGUAGUGUAUGUCAUACUUCCAAGAAAACCUUGCACUGUCAUAGAUAAAAAACGCCUGUACCAUAACCGACACAGGUGGGUAGGUAGAGUAUACUAAGGGGCGCGAGAUAACUCUCUCUAAGGAACUCGGCAAAAUAACUCCGUAACUUCGGGAGAAGGAGUGCCUUAUUCGUAAGGUUGCAAUAACAAGAUCCAAGCAACUGUUUAUCAAAAACACAGGUCUCCGCUAAGUCGUAAGACGAUGUAUGGGGGCUGACGCCUGCCCAGUGCCAGAAGGUUAAAGAAGUUGGUUAGCAAUUGCGAAGCUGAUAACUGAAGCCCUGGUGAACGGCGGCCGUAACUAUAACGGUCCUAAGGUAGCGAAAUUCCUUGUCGGGUAAGUUCCGACCCGCACGAAAGGCGUAAUGAUUUGGAUACUGUCUCGGAGAGGGGCUCGGUGAAAUAGACUUGUCUGUGAAGAUGCGGACUACCUGCACCAGGACAGAAAGACCCUAUGAAGCUUUACUGUAACUUGAAAUUGAAAUUGGACUUUAUUCGCGCAGUAUAGGUGGGAGGCGUUGAUUAUAAUCUUGUGGGAUUAUUGGAGCCAUCAGUGAGAUACCACUCUUGUAAUGUUAGAUUUCUAACUUUGAAUCAUUAUCUGGUCAAAGAACAGUUUCAGGCGGGCAGUUUGACUGGGGCGGUCGCCUCCUAAACGGUAACGGAGGCGUACAAAGGUUUCCUCUGAACGGUUAGAAAUCGUAUCUAGAGUGUAAAGGCAUAAGGAAGCUUGACUGUGAGACCUACAAGUCGAGCAGGGACGAAAGUCGGUCUUAGUGAUCUGACGGUACUGAGUGGAAAGGCCGUCACUCAACGGAUAAAAGUUACUCUAAGGAUAACAGGCUGAUCUCCCCCAAGAGUUCACAUCGACGGGGAGGUUUGGCACCUCGAUGUCGGCUCAUCGCAUCCUGGGGCGGUAGUACGUCCCAAGGGUUGGGCUGUUCGCCCAUGAAAGCGGUACGCGAGCUGGGUUCAGAACGUCGUGAGACAGUUCGGUCCAUAUCCGGUGUAGGCGUUAGAAUAUUGAGAGGAGCCUUCUUUAGUACGAGAGGACCGAGAAGGACAUACCUCUGGUGUACCAGUUAUCGUGCCAACGGUAAACGCUGGGUAGCUAUGUAUGGAGUGGAUAACCGCUGAAAGCAUCUAAGUGGGAAGCCCACCUCAAGAUAAGUAUUCUCAUC
rnacentral:rRNA from 1 species